GCACUGCACUGCGAUACGUUGCUGCUCUGCCGGUUGCGUCCCUAAAUCGCACGGCGCUUGCAUGUGCAUUCGCGUCCUCUUCGUGUAUUUCGGAUUACUGCCCGCCAAUCGAGGCUCCUUCUCAGGUGAUGAUUUAAACGUCAUCGAGCCGAGGGCUUGCGGACCUGCCUCGUUCUCCUCAGUAAAUCGCGUCAAAUAAAAGUUCUCUUAGAAAGUGCGGAUAGAAGUUCUCUUUUAAUCAACCCAAGGAUGGAGAACGUUCCUCGCGCGGCUACCAAAUCGAUUGGCGUGUGAUACCGUUCAUAAAUUUCUUGGUUAUUUAAGUCAAUUCAUCGGUCGCAAAAGAGAAUACAUAAGUUUUUAGUGUUUAGCCAUCAGCCGAGUGCGACGAUUCAUUACUGGCCCCAUCAGUAAGUUCGACGCGAUGAUUCCCGCAGCCAGUUUUCCGCGAGGGAAUAUACACGACAAGAAUGAAUGCUCAUCCGUUUUGAUGGAAACAGAUUUUAGGUCUAUAUUUUACGAUUUCUUUCCAUAAGAAUAUAAUUUGACCA
rnacentral:lncRNA from 1 species